rnacentral:misc_RNA from 1 species
UACAGAGGGUGCAAGCGUUAAUCGGAAUUACUGGGCGUAAAGCGCGCGUAGGUGGUUUGGUAAGUCGAUUGUGAAAUCCCCGGGCUUAACCUGGGAAUUGCAGUCGAUACUGCAUGACUCGAGUGUGGGAGAGGGAAGCGGAAUUUCCGGUGUAGCGGUGAAAUGCGUAGAUAUCGGAAGGAACACCAGUGGCGAAGGCGGCUUCCUGGCCCAACACUGACACUGAGGCGCGAAAGCGUGGGUAGCGAACAGG